rnacentral:rRNA from 1 species
UACGUAGGGGGCAAGCGUUGUCCGGAUUUAUUGGGCGUAAAGCGCGUGUAGGCGGCCAUGCAGGUCCGUUGUGAAAACUCGAGGCUCAACCUCGAGACGUCGAUGGAAACCGCAUGGCUAGAGUCCGGAAGAGGAGAGCGGAAUUCCUGGUGUAGCGGUGAAAUGCGCAGAUAUCAGGAAGAACACCCGUGGCGAAGGCGGCUCUCUGGGACGGUACUGACGCUGAGACGCGAAAGCGUGGGUAGCAAACGGG